GGGGGCGUAUGGAUUCGAUCCCGCGAAGCAGAACGGCGCCGCGUGCCGGAGAUGGAUGGUUUGCUCCGUUAUCAAUCUGUCCAAAUGUCGUAACUGGCAAAAACAAAAUCAUUAGGGGUCUCAGGUUCGGUUCUUCGGAGCCGGUCCGCGCGGCUGCCUAAUCCUUGCCGCUUUCGAUAGCGGCACGUCGCGGGGAUUGACUGUCCGCUAGGUCCUCGCGGCGAACAACAGCGGACGGGGCCGUAGGCUGUGCGUGUCUGCGGUCGCAUUUCACGCACUCGCUCCUGCGAUCUUGCCGCGGCAGGCCGUGCGGGGCUAAAUAAAAGCCGCGGCUACGCACGUAGAAGUACCGUUUGAGAGCGCGGGAGACGCGGGUUCGACUCCCGCCGCCUCCACCA
rnacentral:tmRNA from 1 species